UGCAGUCGAACGGCAGCACGGGAGCAAUCCUGGUGGCGAGUGGCGAACGGGUGAGUAAUAUAUCGGAACGUGCCCAGUCGUGGGGGAUAACGCAGCGAAAGCUGUGCUAAUACCGCAUACGAUCUCUGGAUGAAAGCGGGGGACUCGUAAGAGCCUCGCGCGAUUGGAGCGGCCGAUAUCAGAUUAGCUAGUUGGUGGGGUAAAGGCCCACCAAGGCGACGAUCUGUAGCUGGUCUGAGAGGACGACCAGCCACACUGGAACUGAGACACGGUCCAGACUCCUACGGGAGGCAGCAGUGGGGAAUUUUGGACAAUGGGCGCAAGCCUGAUCCAGCAAUGCCGCGUGCAGGAUGAAGGCCUUCGGGUUGUAAACUGCUUUUGUACGGAACGAAAAGGUCUGCCUUAAUACGGUGGGCCCAUGACGGUACCGUAAGAAUAAGCACCGGCUAACUACGUGCCAGCAGCCGCGGUAAUACGUAGGGUGCGAGCGUUAAUCGGAAUUACUGGGCGUAAAGCGUGCGCAGGCGGUUAUAUAAGACAGAUGUGAAAUCCCCGGGCUCAACCUGGGACCUGCAUUUGUGACUGUAUAGCUAGAGUACGGUAGAG
rnacentral:rRNA from 1 species